rnacentral:rRNA from 1 species
GUGGAAGCGCGGUGACGCGUGCAGCUGACGGAUACUAAUCGAUCGAGGACUUAACCA